UAAGGAAUAUUGGACAAUGGGCGCAAGCCUGAUCCAGCCAUGCCGCGUGCAGGAUGAAGGCCCUAUGGGUCGUAAACUGCUUUUAGCAGGGAAAAAACCCUCGUUCGUGAACGAGGCUGAUGGUACCUGCAGAAUAAGCAUCGGCUAACUCCGUGCCAGCAGCCGCGGUAAUACGGAGGAUGCAAGCGUUAUCCGGAUUUAUUGGGUUUAAAGGGUGCGUAGGCGGAUAAAUAAGUCAGUGGUGAAAGCCUGCAGCUUAACUGUAGAAUUGCCAUUGAUACUGUUUAUCUUGAGUACAGUUGAGGUGGGCGGAAUAUGGCAUGUAGCGGUGAAAUGCUUAGAUAUGCCAUAGAACACCGAUUGCGAAGGCAGCUCACUAAACUGUCACUGACGCUGAGGCACGAAAGCGUGGGUAGCAAACAG
rnacentral:rRNA from 1 species